rnacentral:miRNA from 13 species
GGUUGGUGCAAAAGUAAUUGCGGUUUUUGCCAUUAUCUUAGUGGCAAAAACCGCAAUUACUUUUGCAUCAAUGUAAUA